ensembl:lncRNA
GUGGUACAAUAGCCCUGUUAUGCCGUAAUGCGGAGAGCUUGCUGCUAACUCUGGGAAAUACUGUCUCCCAAAAAAUACCGUUUUACUAAGAGUCUGCGGUGUUUUAUAUGUGAGGAAUUGGGUGAUAGAAAUCACGAGUCUCAAUAAGCUGCAGAAUUUACCGCUGCCCCAAGGGAUGAGAGGAGGUUGGUUGGAGUGCACCAGAGGAAGACUUUGUGACAGGACAUUUAUGGAUACGUCAGGAUGAAACGGCUCAGGUCUUCAAGCAGCAGUGACAGUUCUGACAAUGAGAGUCGAACGUGUACCAGGGUUGGCUCAAUUUGAAAUGAAGCCAGUCAAUUCAGGAAGAUUUAAAACCUGUACCGGGGUUGGUUCAAUUUGAAAUGAAGCCAGUCAAUUCAGGAAGAUUUAAAACCUGUAUCAGGGUUGGCUCAAUUUGAAAUGAAGCCAGUCAAUUCAGG